CAACAAAUGCUGUAAAAAUAGUCAGUUAAUAUGACAAUAAUUCUCUUUCCCUGUCACAAGAAGGUUUCAUGUGUCCCAAGUCAGAACCUCGCACCAUCCAGGAGGCCAAGAAUAUUCCUAGAAAGUGCCAGAAAUGGCAGUCUGCAGUUGGGAAAAGGAAUGUGCAGCUGACGAACCUGAAGAUGCUCUUCUUGCCAACUGGCUCUUUGGAGAAAAGAUUUAAGAAGGAUGUGGGAGUGGACUGUAGAGGAGACAGGAGGAAGGUUGUGAAUGAGAUUUGUCUAGGAACCCGUGGUGGAUAGCUGGGACUAAGGCUGGAGAGGAGAUGUGCAGCAGUGGAGAGUGGUCAAAACACAGCAGGACUCAGUGUUGCACAAGGGGAAGAUAAUUUGUUUCUUUGUAAAUAUUUAUGUAGUAGACAUGAUCUCUGAUAAGCUGUCAUGGGACAGACGUUUGUGUUCCUCUCUGUGUUCAAAUAAAGUUGCUGGAAACUCA